rnacentral:RNase_P_RNA from 5 species
CUAGGAAGCUGGAUGAUAGUACGUUCAGUAAAAUGAAUGUACAGGAAAGUCCAGACAGCACAAAGCAGGGUGGCCAGUGUAAACUGACAGCCGUGAGGUCUAGUUAGAGCAACAGUGACGAACCGAGGUCAAGCUCGGGUGAAACGGGCAAUCCUCCCCGCUGCAAUCCUAGAACGAACCGAACUGCUUGUUCUAUGGUUCAAAUCAGGAGCAGUCGCCGUAAGGCGACGGAAGUGACCAAACAUCACUACCAGAUAGAUUUCAUCUAAAACAGAAUCUGGCUUAUGGGCUUCCUAGGCAC